GAUAAACGCUAGCGGCAGGCUUAACACAUGCAAGUCGAGGGGCAGCAUAGAUUGUAGCAAUACAAUUGGUGUCGACCGGCGCACGGGUGCGUAACGCGUAUGCAACCUACCCGUCACAGGGGGAUAAUCCGGAGAAGUCUGGUCUAAUACCCCAUAACAUAUGGAUCGGCAUCGGUUCAUGUUGAAAUUUUCGGAGGUGACGGAUGGGCAUGCGUAGCAUUAGCUUGUUGGUGAGGUAACGGCUCACCAAGGCGACGAUGCUUAGGGGGACUGAGAGGUUUUCCCCCCACACUGGUACCGAGACACGGACCAGACUCCUACGGGAGGCAGCAGUGAGGAAUAUUGGUCAAUGGGCGCAAGCCUGAACCAGCCAUGCCGCGUGCAGGAUGACGGCUCUAUGAGUUGUAAACUGCUUUUGUACGAGGGUAAAGUGGGUUACGUGUAACCUUUUGAAAGUAUCGUACGAAUAAGGAUCGGCUAACUCCGUGCCAGCCGCCGCGGUAA
rnacentral:rRNA from 1 species